UCGAUUUGUUCAUCCAUCGUCUUUCAUAAGAGAUAAAAAAUCAUUUUUUCGAAAAUAUUCCAGAACUGAUUGGUACAUGUAUGAAAAAACAAAAGUCGAAUAUUGCCGAUCUGUUAUCGAGACGAUACAUACGAUAUUUGAAGCAAACAAGUUCUGUCAAUGACGUUCUUGUUGAGACAAAAGUGUGUCAUUUGUCGGCGUGACAAAAAAGUAUCCGCAAAUAUGAAUAAUAUAAAAAUAAAGCAAAGAAUUUAAACCUUUAUGGCAUUCAUACAAAAAAAUUGUGAUCAUACUCGUGAAACGCGAUAAACACCCUCGUACAACUUGUUAGAUAAAUUUAACAUUUCGACGCACUUUCCUACUUUUUGUUUCCGACUUGUUUCUCGUUUAUGUAUACAUAGGCAAACUAAUAUGUAGUUACCAAAGAUGUAAAGGUUCAUCGA
rnacentral:misc_RNA from 1 species